rnacentral:rRNA from 1 species
CUAAGAAACAAAUUUAAUUUGUAUUAAAAAUAAAAUUAUUUUUAAAGUUAGAAAAUUAAGGUAGAUCUUAAUUUUCAAAUCACGAACUUUAUAUAGAGCACUAAUUAAUUUUUAUUUAAAUAGGCCUAAUAGUAGCCAAUUUAUUAAAGUAUUUUAACUAAAAUAUUAAACAACCAUUAUUUAACAGCUCUUAAAUUUAUAUUAGAAAAUUACUUUAAAUUUUUUAAACUAAAUUAUUAUGAAAUUAUCAGUAAAAUAUCCUAUUAACGAAUUAUCAUUUUUAUACUCAAGAAUUAUUAUUUAUUUUAAUUUUAUUUAAAGAAUUCGGCAAAUCCUAUUCUCGCCUGUUUAACAAAAACAUGUCCUGAUGAAUAAAUAUCAGGUCUGACCUGCCCACUGACAUUAGUUCAACGGCCGCGGUAUUUCUGACUGUGCCAAGGUAGCAU